GUGCAAUCCAGUAUGUUGUAUAUUGCAAAUGGUUCCUUAGAAACUUAUUCUGAGUUAGAUAUAUUCAACACAGGAUUAUUACACAACAUAUGGUGUCACCAUUUUUCACUAAAGCAAUUAUAUGCAUACUACAUAUCACAGAGGUGCAGUAGACUAGCUCAGCGUUUACCACUUGAUGGUGCAAUUAUCAACAAUAAAUACCAAUACAAACAGUACAAAUCCUGUUUAAGUACUCUGCUAACAAAUGUCUAUCAUGACGCUGUUUCUGGAUGGCUUAUGGUAGCUUCAUUGUUUUACAAAACAAAGCAAUACAAAAAAGCUUUACACAUCAUUAGGUAUUCUAUAUCGAAAUGUACUUUCGACAAACUGUUCUUUGGAAUGACUCGGUCAGAAAUCCAUAACCAGUCACUUAAGCUGCUGUCAUUCAACAAGACAAGUGUGGCUAAUCUUCUGAAAAUACUAUUCGUAGAUCAUAUACAAUUACAAAUGAAUUCAACGUUAACACCAGACGAACUUGUAAUGGAGGGAUGGAAUAAACAAUAUACCCUUCCAUCCACAGCGUAUGCUUAUUUCCUUAGUGUUCUUUGUCAUUAUCACCUCAAUAAUGUUAGACAUUGUCAGGAUUCUAUUCAAGAUUUAAAACUUGUUAUAGGAGAAAAAUAUUUGAUGUCAGAUGUGAG
rnacentral:lncRNA from 1 species